rnacentral:rRNA from 1 species
GAGGAAUUUUGCGCAAUGGGGGAAACCCUGACGCAGCAACGCCGCGUGAGUGAUGAAGGCUUUCGGGUCGUAAAGCUCUGUCAAGUGGGAAGAAACUGUUCCGUAUUAAUACUACGGUACACUGACGGUACCA